rnacentral:rRNA from 1 species
CAAGUCGAACGGUAGCACAGAGGAGCUUGCUCCUUGGGUGACGAGUGGCGGACGGGUGAGUAAUGUCUGGGAAACUGCCCGAUGGAGGGGGAUAACUACUGGAAACGGUAGCUAAUACCGCAUAACGUCGCAAGACCAAAGAGGGGGACCUUCGGGCCUCUUGCCAUCGGAUGUGCCCAGAUGGGAUUAGCUAGUAGGUGGGGUAACGGCUCACCUAGGCGACGAUCCCUAGCUGGUCUGAGAGGAUGACCAGCCACACUGGAACUGAGACACGGUCCAGACUCCUACGGGAGGCAGCAGUGGGGAAUAUUGCACAAUGGGCGCAAGCCUGAUGCAGCCAUGCCGCGUGUAUGAAGAAGGCCUUCGGGUUGUAAAGUACUUUCAGCGAGGAGGAAGGUGUUGUGGUUAAUAACCGCAGCAAUUGACGUUACUCGCAGAAGAAGCACCGGCUAACUCCGUGCCAGCAGCCGCGGUAAUACGGAGGGUGCAAGCGUUAAUCGGAAUUACUGGGCGUAAAGCGCACGCAGGCGGUCUGUCAAGUCGGAUGUGAAAUCCCCGGGCUCAACCUGGGAACUGCAUCCGAAACUGGCAGGCUAGAGUCUUGUAGAGGGGGGUAGAAUUCCAGGUGUAGCGGUGAAAUGCGUAGAGAUCUGGAGGAAUACCGGUGGC